AUAACCAUUAAUUUUUAUUUUUUAUUUUUAGUCUUCACUUCGUUCAUUCUACGAGAACAAAUAAAAAUUAAAAAUGGGCGCUGAAAAGGUAUCCAUGAACAUCGUUGUCGUCGGACAAGUCCAAUCUGCUAAAUCCGUCAAAAUCAUUUCAAAGGCCACCCCAGCCACCAAUCAAUCGAUGAUUUGUUAAUUUUAUUAAUGUAAUUCAUCAAUUACAAACUCAAAAAUGCCAUAAUCCAAACAAUACGUGUAAUUAAUAAAUCAUAAUAUGUAUUGACAUUGCUAAAUAAAACAAACUCUCCCGUCAAUCA